GGAGAUGUCAUCAGUGAUGGUGAAGAAUUGGUUCCACCCCCUUCCUUGACCCCUCGAAUAAUCAUCAUCUAACUGUCUACCAUGCACAGGGACGUGCAUGAGUUCAGGAGGGGAGGGUGUAGCCCAGAUGGAAAAAACACAUUUACACCAAUGAUAAAGAAAGAGAGUGUUUAUUCUCUUUAUUUGAACUGUCCACAUCAACAGAACGUCAUAUUUCCUAUGACCAUUGAAUGCACCUCUCAGUUCACCCCACGUGAGGGCAUCUAGCUCAGCGACCAAUCAGAGCCUACGCAGGCCGCACUGACCCUGUCAGCCAGGAAGUGAGGUGAAGGUGCAUGGUGCUCCCGGGUUUUUCUCAUCUCAGCUAGAGGAGUGGAGGCAUCUGCUACUCAAACCGAGAAAUCGCAGGGACAAAAGAGAGGAAAAACUCAGAAUUGAGAGGAAGGAAAGCCAGCAUACUUACCUGCUGGAUGUCCGGAGUCGAGUGGCUGGAUGAAGGAGAGAAGCAACGUCGGCUAACCACUCACCUUUCAUCCGGAGAGCUGCUGCAAUUUCAACACCAGCGUGUGUUAGGCUUUUGUGAAACAGAGCAACGGUCAGGUUUUUUGGAGAGGACAGAAAAGUUCGAGGACCAGGACGAUAUUCCGGUCGUGAUAGAUGGCGAGCCAACCACUUUGAGGACGAUCCACCCCAAAGAAGAUACACACCCACACACUCAUACAUUCCAAUUACACUCACAAGGACCUUUGAAGUUGGCUAUUGCCAACUUAACUCUAUAUCCUUAAAGGGCCCCAACGAGUACUUUCAUUUUAUUUGAGUGUGCACACUAUUUAUUUUAUUUUAUACUUUUUCUGUACAAAUUGGACACUAAUUUUUUAUAUCUUGUAACAAUACAAGAGUGGCUACUCAAAAGUUAA